rnacentral:rRNA from 1 species
CGUAAAGCGUGCGCAGGCGGUGUGCAAGACAGAUGUGAAAUCCCCGGGCUUAACUGGGAACUGCAUUUGUGACUGCACGGCUAGAGUGCGGCAGAGGGGAGUGGAAUUCCGGUGUAGGCAGUGAAAUGCGUAGAUAUGCGGAGGAACACCGAUGGCGAAGGCAGCUCCCUGGCCUGCAAUUUCUGACGCUCAUGCACGAAAGCGUGGGGAGCAAACAGGAUUAGAUACCCUGUAGUCCACGCCCUAAACGAUGUCAACUG